rnacentral:lncRNA from 1 species
UGCUGGCUGGCCGGCCGGAUGCCCUGAGCACCCAGUGCCCUCCAGGGCAGCAGUGCCUGGAGAAGGCCCCGGGCCAGUGCUUGCGGCCACCCUGCGCGGCUUGGGGGGCAUGUAGUGCGGAGGAGCCUGUGCUACCCAGCACCCCAUGCCAGCCGCGCUCCGGCCACCUGGACAACAACUGUGCCCGCCUCACCCUGCGCUUCAACCGCGAUCAGGUGCCCCAGGGUACCACCGUGGGCGCUGUCUGCUCUGGCAUCCGUGCUCUGCCGGCCACGAGGGCCGCAGCCCGGGACCGCCUGCUCGUCCUGCUCUGCGACCGGCCACCCUCGGAGGCCAGCGCGGUGGAGGUGGCCUUGGUGAGUGCUUCCGCUCCCGCCCCCGCCCACCCCCCUGCUCCGGGUCCCACUGUGAACGUGCUCCUAGAUGGGGUGUGAGUCGGCACCUCGGAGGUUGGGCGAGGUUGUGUAUCGGGACGCGCAAGGAGGGAAGGGGGAUGGGCAGGGUGGUUUCUCUGGGUGCUGGUGUUGGCGUGGGAGGGGCUGCCUGGUGGAGGUGAGUUGGGCCAGCAUCAGGGCAGCGGCGGGGUUGUGGCCCCCCCCGGGCCCCGGG